CAUCACCUUGGAAGCUUCAUCACGAUACUACUUUGAUUCUUCUUCCCUCUUCAGAAAUGCAAUGUGCAAAUUCAAUUCCAUGGUUUUGGAAGUCCCAUUGAGAACGCGAUUCAUUUGUGCCGGCAUAAUGCUCUGACCGAGAAAGAAUUGAAGUACCACGCUGAGUAUUGUUAUCCCGAUAGUUCUUUCGUCUCAGUCCGUGUGUAUUCCUGGGCGAAUGUGCUCGUGUGGUCUCAGGAGUUGCGGAGGUCACGGCUCUGGGACAGCCGUUUCAUCGCCAUAUGCUGCAGGAAAAAAGCAAUGAAAGUGCCGUUAAUGUUUUGCACGGCGAGCUGCUGCAUACUAACCGGUCUCACACCAUUACCAUCACCUUGCCCUUGUGAAGGCAGAUAUGGAUAAGGUUCUCAAAGCUGAUAGAAGAUUGAAACCACUCUAAUCCUGUGACGAUGAACCUACCCCGGAAGAGAGAGCCCAGAGAAUUGCCAAAGCUGUCCGCAAACAGUCAACAGAAGUGAAGGAAAAUUGGGAGCAAUUGAAAACCCGUGCGAGCAACUGGCAGAAACAGGUGGAAAAGGCGUUGGAGAAACUUCAAGAACUGCAGAAAGCGCUGGAUGAUCUUGAGGCUCAUGUGAUAACAGCUGAGGGGGUCCACACUGAUUGGCAACCUGUGGGUGACCUGCUUAUUGACUCAUUGCAGGAUCACAUUGAUAAAACCACAGACACAAUCAUUGCCUUGGAAGCUUCAUCACGAUGCGACAUUGCAUUUCUGAAGAGGGAAGAAGAAAUCAAUAUGCAAAUUCAAUUCCAUGUUUUUGGAAGUCCCAUUGAGAAAACGAUUCAUUUGCACCAGCAUAAUGCUCUGACUGAGAAAGAAUUGAAGUUUCCACUUGGAAGAAAGAUUCACAUCAAAUUGACUGGUCAAGGAAAUGGGACACUGACUAACCGUACGAUUAGACUGUUUUGAUGAGGAAUUUAAAGAUUAUGUGUCCCAUCCGUUUGACUCACCGUUUGGUACCAUAGGUUGGUACGAUCUUCGUUCGAGAAAGAAAAGGGAUGUUCCAGAGACAGAAAACCGUCAAACCAUUUACUACAAAGUCCGUUUCUGGGUGGAGUUAGUGGAACUGAAAAAGAUGUCUCCCUCACAGCGUUUGUGACACAAGAAUUGCAUCGUUCCUUGGCGGCCUUUCAACAGAAGAAUAUUCAGAGAUUUCCCGAGUGUUGGUCGAGUGGAUCACAGAAAGUCUGGCAACAAAAAAGCUGCAAUGGUUACCUCGUCACUGCUUCCAACUCCUCCUCUUUCUCAGCUGGUGCCCGAUCACUGGCAGCGACAGCGUACCCUCAUGAUGCCAAGGUUGGAGACUAUCAAGAAUCAUGACGACACCGGCCCUUCUCUGUACUGCAGGACUGCCCCAGAGUGCUCCAGGCAGCAGAAGCAACAUUGAACUACUCCAGUGGUCUGCACCAUUACAUUUCCUGUGGUACUUUAUGCAGCCCCUCUGAGUGUGUAAUACACACUCCCAUAUGGACCACGUCAUCAAACAAAGGCUCUUGUCACCUCCUCAUUACUUCAAGUUGUUCAAAUGAGGAUGGCAGGGCAGAAUAUUGAAGAAUUAUUACAAAGUCUUCUGUUCAGUAUCCUGCUGCUCUCUGACAAGGAAAACUGAAAUGUACUUGAUUUUCAUGUAAUUUUGAUUCCCAUUACAGGUCCUUAUGGGAACAGGAAAAAUGACAAGCUGGAAAAUUUUGCAAGUAAUCUUUGGGCCAGCCUGGAAUCUUCCCAUCCUCUGGCCAUGACCUUGUGACCCUGCUUGGAGGUUGUAGUUACAGUUUCAGAAGUGAUCAAUUCCAGUGAGGAUGUCUGUACUAAGGUGAAAGCUCACGCACAGUUCUUCACGACGGGAAAAAUGGCUCCAUUCAGACUCUGGAGAUUCAGGUAUCCCACUGAGAAUCGUUGUCUCCUUCAUCAUUCACCUUAUUCCAGUCACCUGUCCUGCUCUGUGUGAUUUCUGUCCAUUCUCUCAGUCAUGCUUGUCUGAGGGGAUAGCCACGACUGUAGCCCUGUUGUUGACUUGUGCAGUAUCCUCACAGUCAGGGAAUGCUUCCCCAUUCCUGAGAGAUUUCAGCUGGCUUAAACAGCUCUGAAAACCACUAAACACUUUUACAAGAGUCAGCGGAAAUCCACUUGCAUCUAACCUGUAAGUCGUUGGUGAUAUCUCUAUCCUCACUGCACUGGAUGAAGAGAGGAUUGUAACUGGAAUACUGAGGUCAAAACAUAUACCAUUAGCAUCCAAGCAGCAUUACGCAUACUUCCAUCAGAAUGUGAAUCAGAUGACAGGGAUUAUACCUAGCACUUGGAGAACUGACAGAAACCCCAGGUUACCGUGUCAGGAAAGUUCCAGUGAAUGAAGUGCCAACCGAGCACUUACCAUUCGGGGGCAGUCUGUGGCUAAAACCCCACUCACUGAGAGAUGCUGGCCAAACAGAGACUAGUGUCUCGCCAUUGCAGGUGGUGCCACCAGGAAGGGUGGCUGAUGCUGGUACUGCAAUUAAUCCAAUGCUAUUAGUGAGUCAUGAACAAAUUGGGGUCGUGGGAGAGGUUUUCUGGCCAGGGAAUCAGGAGGUUGUAAGAAAAGGUAGUCAGGUGCUAUCUGUUUGCCAUCGCUACUAAUAUGGCAUGGCGGAUCAAUGGUUAGCACUGCUGCCUCACAGCUCCAGGGACCCAGGUUCAAUUCCAACCUCAGGUGACUGUCUGUGUGGAGUUUGCACAUUCUGUAUAUGUCUGCAUGGGUUUCCUCUGGGUGCUCCAGUUUCCUCCCACAGUCCAAAGAUGUGCAGGUUAGAUGGCUUGGCCAUGCUAAGUUGCUAAGAGUGUCCAGGUAUGUGUGGGUUAGGUGGGUUAUAGUGGAAUGGGUGUGGGUGGAAUGCUGCAAAGGUCAAUGUUGGGUCAAAGGGUCUGAUUGUACACUGUAGGGAUUCUAUAAUUAAGAGUUUUACUUCUCAAACUUUCUGUGUGAUAUUUGUUCAGCCUCAGUUAUUAAUUGCCCACUCAGGGGAGUAAAGACCAUUUACCAGCCUUCCCAAUCGAGACUGCAUCAGGGUAAAACUUGAAAGACAGUCAGGUCCGUACUUACACUCUCCAGCUCAAACCCCGCAUAAAGAGAGGGGUGUUAAAUUCUACCCGUCAUGUACAAAAUCCAGCACCUACGUGAUUGCCUGCAAAAAUGCCAUCCAUCACUGCCCACAACAGAAGAGUGAACCUGGCAGAAACGCAGAAUUGCUACAACGCAGAAGGAAGACAUUCAGCCCAUCAUACUUGCCAAGCUCUCUGAGCACUCUAAUUUAAGGCCAAUCUUCUACCUUUUUCCAAAAACCCUGCAUGUAUUUUUUUUUCUGUUUAAGUAACCAUCCCUCUUGCGUGCCUUCGCCGAAUCUGCCACCACCACAUUUCGGGGCAGUGGAUUCCAGGCCCAGAUCACUCACUGGCUGAAUAAAGUAUUUUUUCUCACUGCC